AUGGUUGCUGCUCCAGAAGAGUAUAAAGUAUCAUUAGCUCAACUAUAUAUUGUGGAUGAAGCUGAUGUGUGGUUAAGAAGAUCUGGGCUGCUCAAGAAACAACUUUCCUGGAAACAAUUUGGGGCAGAAAUAGUGAAGAGGUUCUCAGAACAAGGAUCAUAUGAUCUAACCGAAAAAAUCACUUCUUUAAAACAAGCAAACAGCACAGUGUCUGCAUAUACAAAGCAAUUUGAGGACCUGAUGGCAGAAGUCAUGGAAGAAAACCCCGACUUAGGAGAAACUUGGUUCAUAAGGUGCUAUGUCAAUGGUCUCAGGGAUGGAAUUAAAUUUCAGUUGAGACCACUAGGACCUCAAUCCUUGACUGAUGCAUACUGUUUAGCUAAAGAAGUAGAACCCAAUCAUCCACCUAUCAGUGCAAUUCCCAAGAAAACAGCCAGUACAUUUGUCAAUUAUUAUCAGAAAAAUACUGGUGCUUUUCAAAACAAAACCAGCAGCAACAUUGUGCCUAUGCAACAGAAUACUCCAGCAAAACAAAUAGAGAAUAACUCCAACACAUUCACAAAACUGAGGAAAGUGGGAGAAUGCUGGAGAUGUGGAGACAAAUGGACACAUGGUCAUAAGUGCAAGUUAAUUCCCAAUGUUCACUUAUUACAACCAGAGAGUGUGGAGCAAGAAGUUUUGGAAGAAGAAGUGUUGCAGCAGGAGCAGGAAGAAAUUCCAGAAGAAGGUGACUAG
rnacentral:rRNA from 1 species